rnacentral:lncRNA from 1 species
CAGAGAAGUAUCAUGUGGGAAAUAGUACUUAAAAAUGGGAAUCCCCGAAAAAAAAAUUUAACACCUUACUAAAUUAUAAGGUUGGAAGUCACUGUUAUGAAUUUAUUUAAAGAUAAAAUAAAUUAAAGCUGGGACUCAAAAUAUCAUGUUUAGGAGUUCCUGUUGUGGCUCAGUGGGUUAAGAACCUGACAUAGUGUCCAUAAGGAUGUGCGUUUGAUCCCUGGCCUCACUCAGUGGGUUAAGGAUCCGGAACUGCUGCAAGCUGUUAGGUCGACUGGCAGCGCAGCUCUGAUUUGAUUGUUAGCCUGGGAACUUCCAUAUGCCACCAGCCUGGCCAUAAAAGGGGAAAAAAAGUCAUGUUCACACUUUCAUAAAUUGGGAAAUGGCAUUCUAGAUGGGACAGUCUUAGUCUAAGAGUUGAGCCUACGCUUUAAUCUCUGAACCUGGAUCUGUCGGUCAUGUUCGGUGACAUACCCAGGCCAUUGUCCUUCCGUUUCUUUAUAUAUAAUGCCUAAUAUGACAAUAAUAAUUGCUUUGUAGUUCAAAUGUAUGCUAUGAUGAUUCUAAAGAAAAAUGCCAAGGAAGAGAAUGAACAAGAAAAGCCCUACAUUAAUGACAGAAGACUGGGCAGGAGUAGGCAAAUCAGGAAAAAAUGUUGGCACUAAAAAAUCUGGAUGAAACAAGGUAAGAUGAGUAAAACAUGGAAUGGAGUCAAAAGAGAGCAAAUACCGGUUCCCAAAUUAUUCUGAUUUCAGAUGUGAAAAGAGGGAGAAAUGGCAAUUCCUAAGAGCAGAGAAUUUAAUGCUUAAUAGGGAAGAAAAGGAAAUUCAGUGAUGAAAAAGGGGAAGAAGCAGCUCCCUCCAGCGCAAUCCGAUAUUCAGCAACUUCCUAAAAGACCAUGAAGAGAAAAAGACAUUAUAAUUGGGAAAAGAUGCAAGGAAGUCCGCAAUUGCCCAUGUAGGGAUUAAGUUAUGAAACUUUGACUCAAAAGACACUGGAAAUAUUUCCAAGACAUUUUUGCAACAACUCAAAUGUCAGGGUUGUAUGAUAUAAGCUUGGGAAAUAGCACCCUGAUUUAUUCUCAAAGAUUUAUUUGGGGAAAAGAAUCUGAAAUACAAGCUGCAAUUUGUAAUAGCACUGUUCAAAAAGCCAAAAAUGAAGAUUGUUUACAUGUUGUAUUAGAAAAGAAAUACUGGCUAAAGACAACAGCUUUGUGUAUUCAAAGAGUAUUGCCGUGUAAGAAUUUGCCAAAUAACUUAAUGAAAUGGUACGAAGUUAGUAUAAAACAAUUCCUAAACCAAGGAAGAACUAAAAAAUGGAUGCCUAAAAUAUGCCAUCCAUACACGUAUGUUCUUGACCAUUUAGCCACAUAAAUGUAGUAGGAAACUAGAUGACAGUGAAAAAAGUAGUAGCUUGCAAGAUCAGAGGAAUAAAUAGCUGGUUGAUGGACUUCGUUUCUAGGUUGUCUUCUUUGCUAUAUAGAUGUAUUUAUUUUUGAAAUUUCAAGAUGUGCAUGAGCUUUUGGGGAAGAGCAUCUUCUGGAAUGUAUAAUUAUAUCUGUUUCAAGUAGCGCUUUCUAAUCACCACACUGGUCAAAAUGCCUUAUGCCCUCAUAGUACUGGUAAAGAUAACUAAUAACAAUUAUUUUCAAAAGGUUUUUAUGGGAGUUCCCGUCACACAGUGGAAACAAAUCCAACUAGGAGCCAUGAGUUUGCAGGUUUGAUCCCUGGCCUCGCUCAGUGGGUUGAGGAUCCAGCGUUGCCUUGAGCUGUGGUGUAGUCGCAGACAAGACUCAGAUCUGGCAUUGCUGUGGCUGUGGUGUAGGCCAGCAGCUGUAGCUCCAAUUCGAUGCCUAACCUGGGAACCUCCAUAUGCCAUGGGUAUGGCCCUGAAGAAAAAAAAAAAAAAAAAAGCUUUUAUGCAAAUUUGUAUGGGAUCUGGUUUAAAAUGAGGGCUAUCUACUAUUGCGUUUGACUGCUCUGAUUUUGAUGAAGAUCCUGCAAAAGGACAGAAACGAUAUGUAUGAAAAGGAUUUAAAAUACUUUAACAAGACAAAACUUGAAGAAAUAGUUAUAGAGAAAUUGUAGGAAGAAAGAUCCAAAAAUGAAUAAAGCACUAAAAUGUCUUAAAGUUUUACUUAAAGGCAGAUCUCACCUUAUGCAAAAAUACCCAAGGGUACUUUAAAGUCAGCUGGAGUAUAUUCCCAGAUCUACCAUUUUUCAGCUGAGUGAUGAUGGCCCAGGAAGACUAAACUGUCAAAUUCUAAACUUCAAUUUCCACAUGUAUGAAGUGACGAUGAUAAUAAUAAUAUAUUCUUUAUAACGGUAUUUUAAAGGUUAAAUGUGACCUCUAUCACACUGCAGUAUAAUUAUUUAUGGUUGUCUCUUUCAUUCUUUCUUUCUAUCAACAAAUAUUACUUGAAAGCCUACUAAAGUGAAUACUGACUCUGCCUCUAUUUCUUUGUCUCUGUUAGCCAUGUGGCUUUGAGAAAAAUAUUUAACAUCUGUGCCAAUGUUAUCUUUAAAGUUGAGAUAAAAAUAGUAUACAUCUCAAAGGGAUAUUGUAAGAUUAAAUAAGCUAAUACAAGUAACGUAUUUAGAAAAAAGCCUAAUAGUAAAAGUUAGAAAAUUGAAGAGUUCCCAUGGUGGCUCAGUGAUAACAAACCCAACUAGUAUCCAUGAGGACGCAGGUUUGAUCCCUGGCCUUGCUAAGGGGUUAAGAAUCUGGCAUUGCCAUGAGUUGUGGUGUAGGUUGCACACGUGGUUUGGAUCUGGUGUUGCUAUGACUGUGACAUAGGCCAAUAGCUACUGUUCCUAUUUGACCUCAAGCCUGGGAACUUCCAUAUGCUGCAGAAGCAGCCCUAAAAAGUAAAGAAAAAAAAAGAAAAAGAAGAAAGAAAGAAAGAAAGAAAGAGAGAAAGAAAGAGAAAACUGACAAAUCUUAGCUAGAUUUUUGUUAAUUUUUUCCUUCCUCCUUUUUCUCCUAAUCGUUCUUACUCCUUGUCUUAUCAUCACCAUCAACAACACCAUGCAUUCUGCAAAUCCUUUCCUAUUAGGAAAUGAUAUUCUUCCUUUUGGGGGGGUUCUGUUAUUAUUCAUUUGUGAAGUUAAAAAUUAUCAGACACAACUUAGAAUAGAUGUACAAGGAGAUCCUGCUGAGUACCAUUGAGAACUUUGUCUAGAUACUCAUGUUGCAACAGAACAAAGGGUGGGGAAAAAAAAUGUAAUUGUAAUGUAUACAUGUAAGGAUAACUUGAUCCCCUUGCUGUACAGUGGGAAAAAUUAAAAAAAAAAAUGAGCAAUACAAAGUAAAAACUGCUGGAGUUCCCGUCAUGGCUCAGCAGAAAAGAAUCUGACUAGUAUCCAUGAGGACGCAGGUUCAAUCCCUGGCCUUGCUCAGUGGGUUAAGGAUCCAGUGUUGCAGUGAGCUGUGGUGUAGGUCACAGACGUAGUUCAGAUCUGGUGUUACCGUGGUUGUGGUGUAGGCCAGCAGCUGCAGCUCCAAUUAGACCCCUAGCUUGGGAACCUCUGUAUGCCAUGGGUGCGGCCCUAAAAAGCCAAAAAAAAAAAAAAAAAAAAAAAAAAGUCAAAACUACCAUACAAUUUUUCAAGGAAAUAAUAUAAACAAUAAAUAAUAAAUAAACUAUUGAACACUAGUUCCCAUUAUUAGUCAAAACCUUUUGGUUUGCAAAGAAAAUCAACUCAAACUACCUUCCCUGAAAUUGUAGGGGGAAAUUUUUUGGCUGAAGUAAACAAACAACACAAAAGCAAGAGGUGGGGCUGGCCUCAAGAUCCUUUGAAUCCAAAAACCUCAUAGCUUGUCAAGACACUCCCUCCCAGAAUUUCUCAUCUCUGCUUCAUUUUGAGUGUAAUUCCAUGCUCUCCUCUGCAGACAGCGCUCUCUGUGAGACAGAGGUCACACACUCACAGUUCUGGGUGUGACUCCUAACAGGUCCUGACCGAGGUGGCAGGGGACCUUAUGGUCUACCUCCAACUGGAAAAGUACAUGGAAAAAGCAUUAAUUGGCCUGUUAUGAAUCACAAGCCCAUUCCUGAGUGUUUAGCAUGGCUAGAUGAGGUAAUAUGCUACACAUACUAUAAUGAGAUUAUACUCUAUAUGCUAACAGGGAGAGAGCACAGGUUAAUGGAAGUGAGGAGGAGUAGAGAACAGCAUAUCCCUCCGAAAUAAACAAGACUUUGUUAAUUUGUGUCACUGAGAAGUCCCCUCCCUGUCUUCUCCCUUCACUUUAUAUGCUCAAUGCCCAGUACUGCUUAGUGCAUACAAGACAGCCAAUAAAUAUUUUUGAAAAAUAUAUAGGCAUUACAAUCCCAAUAAAAACAUUUUGACACGAUUUUUAUUGGUCAUUUUUACCAAUACAACAGAGGACAAAGGCAUUUCUGACCAGUGCGGUGAUUAGAAAGAACUACUUAAAACUAAUAUAAUUAGUUCCCAUCAUGGCUCAGUGGUUAACAAACCUGACUAGCAUCCAUGAGGAUGACAGUUUGAUCCCUGGCCUUGCUCAGUGGGUUAAGGAUCCAGUGUUUCAGUGAGCUAUGGGGUAGAUCCCAGAGGUGGCUCUGAUUCCGUGUUGCUGUGGCUGUGGUGUAGGCCAGCGGCUACAGCUCCAAUUCAAGCCCUACCCUGGGAACUUCCAUAUGCCAUGGGGGCAGCCCUAAAAGACAAACAAACAAACAAACAAACAAAAUAAUAAUAUCGUUAUACAUUCCAGAAGAUCCUCUUCUCUGAACAUACAAUUUUCAAUCCCUUUUCCUUUUUAACAAGCCAUCUGAAAACAUCAAUGUAUUUCAUGAUGCUCAAUUUUAAACACUUUUAAACAAGUAUCUAUUACUCUUCCUUAAGUUGCUACAACAAAAUACCCUGGACUGAGUGACUUAUAAACAGCAAAUAUUUAUUUUUCAUGGUUCUGGAGGCUGAGAAGUCAAAGAUCAAAAUACUCAGUGUCUAGUGAAAGUCCAUUUUCCUAGUUCAUAGAAGUUGGUUCCAUCUUUUUGCUGUAGCCUCACACGAUAAAAGAGAUAAGGAAACUCUCUGGAGUCUUUUGUUUUGUCUUUUUGCCUUUUCUAGGGCUGCUCCCACGGCAUAUGGAGGUUUCCAGGCUAGAGGUCUAAUCAGAGCUGUAGCCGCCGGCCUACACUACAGCCACAGCAAUGUGGGAUCCAAGCUGCGUCUGCAACCUACACCACAGCUCACGGCCAACACCGGAUCUGUAACCCACUGAGCAAGACCAGGGAUCGAACCCCCAACCUCAUGGUUCCUAGUUGGAUUCGUUAACCACUGCGCCAUGACAGGAACUCCAUCUGGGGUCCGUUUUAAUAAGGUCACUAAUCCACCCAUGAGGGCCUCCCAAACCCACCUAUAAACAUGUCAUAUUGAAAAUUAGGUCUCUCAACUUACGGAUUUAGGGAGGACACAAACAUUCAGCUCAUAGCAUUCUGCCACUGACCCCUCCAAAUGAGUGCACAAUACAUUCAUUCUGUCUGAACAGCCCCCAAAGUUUUAACUCAUCCCAGCAUCACCUUUAAAAUCUAAGUCCAAAGUCCUAUCUAAACAUUGUCUAAAGCAGAUGGAGUUCUGACUAAAUCUAAAUCAUACU